rnacentral:rRNA from 1 species
AUCCUGGCUCAGAGCGAACGUUAGCGGCGCGCCUAACACAUGCAAGUCGCACGAGAAAGGGGGNAACCCCCGGUACAGUGGCGCACGGGUGAGUAACACGUGGGUGAUCUGCCCAGAAGAAGGGGAUAACCUCUCGAAAGGGGGGCUAAUACCGCAUAGGACCACCGGGGGCUUUGGCUCUGUGGUGAAAGGGGGUCUCUGUUUACAAGCUCCUGCUUCUGGAUGAGCCCGCGUCCCAUCAGCUAGUUGGUAGGGUAAUGGCCUACCAAGGCUACGACGGGUAGCUGGUCUAAGAGGAUGGCCAGCCACACUGGAACUGAGACACGGUCCAGACUCCUACGGGAGGCAGCAGUGGGGAAUCUUGCGCAAUGGGCGAAAGCCUGACGCAGCGACGCCGCGUGGGUGACGAAGGCCUUCGGGUUGUAAAGCCCUGUGGGGUAGAACGAACUGGCAUCGGGCUAAUAUCCCGGUGUCUUGACGGUACUGCCUUAGCAAGCAUCGGCUAACUCUGUG